AUGCUCUUCUCUGCUGGUUUCCCUGGCAACCAACUGGCUGACCGGAAAUUAAUUCCCAGGUGACUUCCCACUACCCACGAGCAGCAGUGUGGAUGGCCACCAUGUCCUGCCUGCCUUCCACUGCGUGCAAUGGGGUGUUGCUCUAGGACCUUGCUUAAUACAUGUAUUCUACAGCCAUCUUGCCGCUGCCCAAGAGGAAGGUGGCCUGUCAAGAAUGCUGUGUGAAGACACUGCUAUGUAGAUGAAGACACUGCUCCAUGAGGAACUUUUUUUAGAGAAAAAGAAGAGAAUCUGUUUCCUUUAGCUGACCUUCAGAGACUGACCCAUAAAGUGUGCCUGAAUUGCAGAAAGCCAAAACUGAAAAGAAACAUGAAUUAAUUUCACCUAGACAUAAUAAGCAGAUCCGAAGUAAAGCAAACUCCUAGAUGAAAGCAGCUGAAACUCUGGUCUCACGGGAGCUCCUUUGGAGAAGAAAAAAAAAAGCGUUAAAACUCUGGGGACGUGAACCUGAAACUGUGAGUCACCCCUUCUCCAUUUCAGAGUCUUCCCUCCUCAAGGGGCUUGAGAAAUGUGACACAUCACUCCAGUAAACCCUUCUGGACACAAUUAUGUUCCAGUUUCUGCCUACCAGGACCUACUUAGUAUUUCUCAUCUUACUCAGAUUGCAUUGAGAACUUGAUUAGAUGCUAUUGAUUCUGUCAUAAACAAAUAAAUGCAGCCUGCA